GGGACAUUAUUGAAAAAACCUGAUGGGUUGUUGCUGGUUCUCCAGGGAGCAUGUGCACGCCUUGUCAUCUUUAUAUCUCCACCUGUGCACUUUUUGUAGACCUUUCAGGUCUAUGUUGCUUCAUUUACCCCAAUGUAUGUUAAUAGAAUGUUGUGCCUAUAUAAUAUAUACAACUUUCAGCAACGGAUCUCUUGGCUCUCGCAUCGAUGAAGAACGCAGCGAAAUGCGAUAAGUAAUGUGAAUUGCAGAAUUCAGUGAAUCAUCGAAUCUUUGAACGCACCUUGCGCUCCUUGGUAUUCCGAGGAGCAUGCCUGUUUGAGUGUCAUUAAUAUAUAUAUCAACCUUCUCUUUGUUGAGUGGCUUGGAUGUGGGGGUUUGCUGGUGGCCUCUUAGGAGGGUUCAGCUCCCCUGAAAUGCAUUAGCAGAACAAACCUGUUCAUUGGUGUGAUAACUAUCUACGCUAUUGAAUGUGAGGGGCAGUUCAGCUUUCUAACGGUCCUUUGGGACAGAUUCAUCAUUAAUGUGACCUCAAAUCAGGUAGGACUACCCGCUAACUAA
rnacentral:rRNA from 1 species